rnacentral:rRNA from 1 species
UACGUAGGGGGCAAGCGUUAUCCGGAUUUACUGGGUGUAAAGGGAGCGUAGACGGCCAGACAAGUCAGAAGUGAAAGCCCAGGGCUCAACCCUGGGACUGCUUUUGAAACUGCCGGGCUGGAGUGCAGGAGAGGUAAGCGGAAUUCCUAGUGUAGCGGUGAAAUGCAUAGAUAUCACGCAGAACUCCGAUUGCGAAGGCAGCUCACUGGACUGCAACUGACACUGAGGCUCGAAAGUGUGGGUAUCAAACAGG